rnacentral:pre_miRNA from 1 species
UAACUACUCCCUCUGUCCAGAAAUACUUGUCAUCAAAAUGAAUAAAAAAAGAUGUAUCUAGAUGUAUAUUAGUUCCAGAUACAUCUCUUUUUAUCCAUUUUGAUGACAAGUAUUUUCGGACGGAGGGAGUAUUAC